rnacentral:rRNA from 1 species
CCUACGGGCGGCUGCAGUGGGGAAUAUUGCACAAUGGGCGCAAGCCUGAUGCAGCCAUGCCGCGUGUGUGAAGAAGGCCUUCGGGUUGUAAAGCACUUUCAGCGGGGAGGAAGGCGUUAAGGUUAAUAACCUUGGCGAUUGACGUUACCCGCAGAAGAAGCACCGGCUAACUCCGUGCCAGCAGCCGCGGUAAUACGGAGGGUGCAAGCGUUAAUCGGAAUUACUGGGCGUAAAGCGCACGCAGGCGGUCUGUCAAGUCGGAUGUGAAAUCCCCGGGCUCAACCUGGGAACUGCAUUCGAAACUGGCAGGCUAGAGUCUUGUAGAGAGGGGUAGAAUUCCAGGUGUAGCGGUGAAAUGCGUAGAGAUCUGGAGGAAUACCGGUGGCGAAGGCGGCCCCCUGGACAAAGACUGACGCUCAGGUGCGAAAGCGUGGGGAGCAAACAGGAUUAGAUACCCCGGUAGUC